rnacentral:rRNA from 1 species
ACACGUAGGAGGCAAGCGUUAUCCGGAUUUACUGGGCGUAAAGCGCGUGCAGGUGGUUUGGUAAGUUGGAUGUGAAAUCUCCCGGCUCAACUGGGUGAGGUCGUUAAAACUGCCGAACUAGAGGACGAUAGAGGAAAGUGGAAUUCCCGGUGUAGUGGUGAAAUGCGUAGAUAUCGGGAGGAACACCAGUGGCGAAAGCGACUUUCUGGCUCGUUCCUGACACUAAGACGCGAAAGCUAGGGUAGCAAACGGGAUUAGAUACCCCAGUAGUCC